rnacentral:rRNA from 1 species
GAUGAACGCUGGCGGCGUGCCUAACACAUGCAAGCGGACCGAGCGCUUUAAUUAAGUUUUCUCGGGAAGACGGAUUUUUGUGAUUGGGGGGGGGCGGGGUGGGAAACGCGGGGGAACCUGGCCCCUAAAGGGGGGUAAAAAGUAGGAAAGACUUGCUAUAACGCAAAAGAACCCCGGUUCGCAUGAAGGGGGGGGUAAAAACCCGGUGGUAUGAGAUGGACCCGCGUCUGAUUAGCUAGUUGGUAAGGUAACGGCUUACCAAGGCGACGAUCAGUAGCCGACCUGAGAGGGUGACCGGCCACAUUGGGACUGAGACACGGCCCAGACUCCUACGGGAGGCAGCAGUGGGGAAUAUUGCACAAUGGGGGAAACCCUGAUGCAGCGACGCCGCGUGAAGGAUGAAGUAUUUCGGUAUGUAAACUUCUAUCAGCAGGGAAGAAAGUGACGGUACCUGACUAAGAAGCCCCGGCUAACUACGUG